rnacentral:rRNA from 1 species
UGGGGAAUAUUGGACAAUGGGCGCAAGCCUGAUCCAGCCAUGCCGCGUGGAUGAUGAAGGCCCUAGGGUUGUAAAGUCCUUUUAACGGGGAAGAUAAUGACGGUACCCGUAGAAUAAGCCCCGGCUAACUUCGUGCCAGCAGCCGCGGUAAUACGAAGGGGGCUAGCGUUGCUCGGAAUUACUGGGCGUAAAGCGCACGUAGGCGGACCGAUAAGUCGGGGGUGAAAUCCUGGAGCUCAACUCCAGAACUGCCUUCGAAACUGCCGGUCUUGAGUUCGGGAGAGGUGAGUGGAACUGCGAGUGUAGAGGUGAAAUUCGUAGAUAUUCGCAAGAACACCAGUGGCGAAGGCGGCUCACUGGCCCGAUACUGACGCUGAGGUGCGAAAGCGUGGGGAGCAAA